UGGAACCGCGCCGAUAUCUAUACAGGGUUUCUUAAUACUUUCGCCGCACGUCAUAAGCCGUAUGGCGCGACAGCAACCGCGCGUCGACGCCGGAUAGGAUAAGUUUUGCUCGAGAUUUCCAGACCAUCCAGUCUCGAAGCAACGGCGGCGCGUUCCUUCGCCUUAGCGGCGUAUCCCGAUUCUAUGUACGGUUAAAGUUCGCUCGUUGACGGUCACAAGCCGUGUUCGCGGUGCACGUCGUGAUUUGGUUGCGGGAGAAUCAGCGGUAGCAAGCGGGAAGAGGUGAAGGGUGUGUUAGAAUGCGGUUUAGAAGAGGAGGAUGGAUCGGAAGAAAUUUGUUCUACUUCACGGCAGUGCCUCGAGGAUUUCUCGCUGGGAAAUAUUCUUCUUUGGCUAUGGUGCUGCGUCGGAUCUACGAACCGUGUUCUCCGCACUAGAAACGAAGUACCACACCUGACGAAUUAGGCGUUGACAAAAGUCUUGGUUAAAAUUAUUGUCUACGAGCAAUUGCAGUUCCAAGUAUCUCUUGAAGAUGGAAUGAUCGUGGGAGGAUUUUUAUCUGUGAUGAAUAGAAAUCUUGCAAUUACUCGACGAGGAAAGAAAAUAUAAAGUUCAUUAACGACUAAGUAAAAAUUGUAACGUACACUGUAAUGUAUAAUCAGUUAUCGGCUUGCCUUUCAAUACGUAGUGAAACCAAAUAGAAUUAUAAUAAACAUGCUAUUUGUAGAGCCACGUUUUUUAGUCACUUUUGUUCCUUUUAAAUUCUGUAUAACGCGAUAAUUCUUCAAAUUUUUGAAACGACACGUCUCAGAGAAGCAAAAAUUUCUGUUUCCAGCCGCAUAAAUGUUUAAUAAAUGCUCAUGGUUGAAAGCUACAAUCUUAUUUUAUAAGCAGUAGGAAAGCAUACGCAUAUUGUGCGUCAUAUAAAAGCACAUUUUCUACGUUCAAACAUUUAUACCGUAUACUGCACCGGAAUAAAAGUGUCAAAUUUUUAACAGACGAAGGUAGACGCAUUACUAUCGUAUCGUCGGAUAAAAUUACCUUACACCAGAAUAUGAUGACGUUGUAUGAAAGUUUGCUUCAGAUUUUCAAGCGAUUAUUUCGCUGUAUUGCCGCGCGUGUGCAGCUCUAGCGAUUAAUUAUCUGUUAAUUACUACUAAUUAAGGGAAAUAAUGAGAUGGCAGUAUGGUGGAGGGUAGAAAGCGAGUGACGUGAUGGGACAAGCUGGAGGAGAGUAAGCAACCCGGGGAAGGAUAACAGGAGGAGAGACGGAAACUGGUCACCGGCUACCAGUUGAGAAGGGUGAUUUAGUGAGGGAACAGCAGGCGGCGCCCGAUUAUUUUUGGUUUUAGCCGUGGUGGCCAUUAUUUUUGGUCUGCCGCUUGCCGCAACUUGGACUCUGCUCGGCCAGAAAUUCAGUGUGACCGAGUUCAAAGUACGCAAAAAGCCUGGCUACCUCGGCGAAAACUACACGCGAACGUGACGGACGAAUUGUAGAUUU
rnacentral:misc_RNA from 1 species